CGCCAGCUGCUUGUUGUCGUCCAUCAUGUGCAGGAUUUUGGCCUGGGGGGAGGGAGGAAGAGGAGGAGAGAGAGAGAGAGAGAGAGAGCUUUUAGCAGGAAGUUGACAGCUCUGCAAGGAGUCUGUGUCCCAGAGGGAUGGGAGUCCCUGGCCAUGCAGAUGAGGCAUGAAGAGAUUGGGAAUAUUUCCUAAGGACACAAGGGAAACCUCAGUCAAUGCCAGAACAAUUCCCAGCUGAAGGAGCUGUGAGUAUCACCAGCUUCCUUCAGUACAUCCUCAAAAAUGGACCCUCAAUGAUGGGAAAAGAUCUCCAAAGUGGGAUUUUUGCUCUGUGCCUCAGGUUUGUUGUGCCCUGGCAUGCUGUAGGGCCAGCUUCCAAUUGGCCCUUUCCAAAUAUCACCAGAGGCAUCUCUGUGGCUGUUUAUCACCAAGAAAAUCCAGUGCAAGAGAGCAGCAACUUCAGCAGCAAUCCCCAGGAAAAGCACAUUCCAGUCUCUUCCAGCACAUCUCCACUAAAUAAUUCCUAUCAAAGCUACAGCAGUUGUUAAUGCCUAGUAAUUUAUGUUUUCCCCUCUGCAAAGGUGUAUUUAUAAAUGCAUUUUACACCCCUCUCACUCAUAAAAUACAGAGCACCAACUCUUUCCUUCCUCAGCUUCCUCAGCAGCAUCUUUAUGCAAACCUUGCUGAUGUGGUACUGAUGUAAUAGCUUACUAGUUAUUAAAACUAAUAAGUUAUUAAAACGUAUAACUAAGUGAUGGUUACUAACUUAUAAGUUAUUAAAACUGAAUUAAACAGAGCUAAGGAUGGACAGGAUUAAAUUUUGAGUGAAUAUUCAGUUUAUCUCUUGCCACAUUUCCCCAUCUCUCUCUCUGUGAGGGUAAAAUGGUCUUGGCGACCUUCCUGUGCUGCACAUCCCUGGGGACCAUGAAAACAAACCCAUUAAUGUUUAUAAAGUGUCUCAGACUGGGGGAAUUACAUCACUGUGGCGAGAUACAAGCUUAAUGGAUCAAAACAAACCCCAGCUCCAAACCCCCCAGCUUAGACACAUCUCAGUUACCCAGCACAAACCUCAAGGAAUCCCACUGAGAAGGGAUAAUUGAGAGAAAAAUGUGAUCCCAGAGAUUUUUCUGCAGUAAACCCAUUUUAUGUUAAUAGAAAGCAGAUUUCUAGAGCCCUUUGCAAAGCAAUGACUUCCACAGCAUAUUUCACAGCUGAGCACAUCCAUGGCACCAGCUUUGGACACGGGGCUAUUAAACCCAACAUUUGUUUAAUGAAUUACAGCAGUCCAUGGAUCUGGGUGUGCUCAGCCUGUGUUUAAAUGUUUAUUGUCAGCAGCCAGCUCUGCCUGAGCAGGUAUCAGCCUCAGUGAUGAACUCUCUCUGCAGUGGACACAAAACUUUGAACAUUUUUUGGGUUCUGCUUUCUUAUCCAAGACAGAUUACCCAGGAGGUUCAGGGUCUCUGCUAAACAUAAAACUUUUUGGGUUCAGUGCCAGUUUGGGGUGUUUUCUCCUUGCUGAUGAACUGAGGUGUAUCUCCCACCAGCCUGGGCUUGGUCCCUGUGACUGAAGGGUGGAUUAAGCCAUUAAAACUCACACAUUCAAGCAAGGCUGAUGUGCAGCCAUCUCCAAGAUGACCCCUCUCUCACCUCACCAAUCAAUCUAUAAACCUUGACAAAAAAUUAACUCUGGUUCACCCUCCUAUUUUAUCACGUUCUCCACUGCAAACUAUGUGUGAAGUGCUCCCUUUCAUGGCAGAUACAGACAGUGGUGAUGAUGUGCUGUGAUCACUUUGAUUUCCUGCAAAAUGCCUCUGAUUUAUGGUGGUCUCCACUGCUGAAAUCCCCACCCAGGAGCAGCUUUAGAGUCCUUUGGGCUGGAAGAGGCCCUAAGAAUCAUCUCAUCCCACCUCUGCCAUGGUCAGGGACACUUUCCUGGGAUACCAGGUUGCUCCAAGCCCUGUCCAACCUGGCCUUGGACACUUCCAGGGACCCGGGGCAGCCACAGCUUCUUUGUGCCCAGGCCUCACCACCUUCACAAUUAAGAAUUUCUUCCUCAUCUCCAGUGUAACCCUGCCCUCUGCCAGUGGGAACCCAUUUCCCUUUGUCCUGUCAUUCAGGUGAAGUUUGAAUGAAAUGUCAUUUCCCCUCCUUUCCCCAUCACAAAUUAGGGAGCAAAGAUGUGGUUGGGCUUUUUCAGAACUGCCAGGGUGAUUUGGGAGAUCAGGUCCUGCUGAUUCCCCAAGAAGAUGAGGAUGGGGACUCUGUGGAGAAUUAUCUUUGCAGCCCCAAUUUACCUCCUGUUCUGUGAUGAGCGUCGUGUGGAAACUCCCAUGAAUAGUGAGAACGUGAAGCGCUCAGCAGGAUAAUGUGUGCUGUGAAAAAAACCCUGUGAUCAAUCAGCAGACAAAUAUAUACUUAAACGAGGUGUUAGUGGCAGAGAUGCAGGAAAGGUGAUUAUGGGUUUGUCUCCGUGUUUCCCUCAGCAACAAUGCUGACACGCAGGGGUGGGUCACCCUACCCUGCCAUUAAUGGAGCAUCAGCACUCAUCUGACAGCUCCUUUGUCCUGGGAACUCAAUUCCCAUGAAGAUUUGACAUUAGCAGAGGCACGGGGAAACUCAGAGCCUUUGCAUUUUCAUGACCCUCCAACUGCUUUAGCCUGAUGGAUUACAGGGAAGGGCCCUGCAGAGCCAGGCUCCAUCCCAGCCACCUCCCAGCCUGCAGCACCACUCCCCAAACGUGGCUGGGGGGAAUCCAGGCUGCCACAGCUCCCUGAUCUCUUCCUCCACUUUGGGGAAUAAUGGUGGAUAGAAAAAUGGUAGAAGUGAUGAGCUGUGAGCUGCCACAGGCAGACCCAGGUGCCUGCAGCUGCUGCUGGGAGCAAUCUGUGCCCCCAGAGGGCUGCACUGGUCACCAGCUGCAGUGCCAGGAGCAGCUCAGGCUCUCCCAGAGAAGGC